rnacentral:rRNA from 1 species
AACGAACGCUGGCGGCAUGCCUAACACAUGCAAGUCGAACGAAGGCUUCGGCCUUAGUGGCGCACGGGUGCGUAACGCGUGGGAAUCUGCCCCUCGGUUCGGAAUAACAGUUAGAAAUGACUGCUAAUACCGGAUGAUGACGUAAGUCCAAAGAUUUAUCGCCCAAGGAUGAGCCCGCGUAAGAUUAGCUUGUUGGUGGGGUAAUGGCCUACCAAGGCGACGAUCUUUAGCUGGUCUGAGAGGAUGAUCAGCCACACUGGGACUGAGACACGGCCAGACUCCUACGGGAGGCAGCAGUGGGGAAUAUUGGACAAUGGGCGAAAGCCUGAUCCAGCAAUGCCGCGUGAGUGAUGAAGGCCUUAGGGUUGUAAAGCUCUUUUACCAGGGAUGAUAAUGACAGUACCUGGAGAAUAAGCUCCGGCUAACUCCGUGCCAGCAGCCGCCGUAA